UACGGAGGGGGCUAGCGUUGUUCGGAAUUACUGGGCGUAAAGCGCACGUAGGCGGCUUUGUAAGUUAGAGGUGAAAGCCCAGGGCUUAACCCUGGAAUUGCCUUUAAGACUGCAUCGCUCGAAUUGUGGAGAGGUGAGUGGAAUUCCGAGUGUAGAGGUGAAAUUCGUAGAUAUUCGGAAGAACACCAGUGGCAAAGGCGACUCACUGGACACAUAUUGACGCUGAGGUGCGAAAGCGUGGGGAGCAAACAGG
rnacentral:rRNA from 1 species